GAACUUCAACAGAAUGUUGAAGCUGUGUCAAGAACUUGGCAUUCAAGAAGAACUUCAGCUUCAACCUAUCCAUGACACUGAAGAUGGAUUAAAUAUUGGAAACACAGGGCACCUCCAAACUAAGGGGGAUGUUAUCAAGAGCUUAGUGGAAAAAACUGCCAUAGAUUCAAUUGAAACUAACUGUUCGUAUUUUAUCCAACAGUUCUACAUGUCUGACAACUGCAACCAAAUAAUUAAGGGCUGUGCAUUUGAUCAACCAAACUGAAAUUUACAUUAACCAAAAUUUUUAAAACUCCAUCUAUGCUACUUACUGAACCACAAUAUAUAACUUACAUAUUAUCAAUAAAAUAAUUGGUCAUUUCUACUACAAAUUUUAGGUAAACAUACUGAACCAAAAACCAAAAUUCCCCAGAUCAAAACAAUUGAAUUUCAUUAGUUUGCUUCAAAUUUGAAUAAUGCUCACAGUCAAAUUUGCAAGAAAUUUUUAAUGUUGCAAAGCAAAUUGAAAUUGCUAUGGCAUGCUUAUUGAAUGGCAAUAACAUACUGAUACCUCAGACAUUAUAAUCCA
rnacentral:misc_RNA from 1 species